UGUGCUCCGGUGCCCAUCCC
rnacentral:miRNA from 1 species